rnacentral:rRNA from 1 species
CGUCUAGGUGGCACGUCAAGUCAGGUGUGAAAUCCCUCGGCUCAACCGAGGAACUGCACUUGAAACUGGCGCGCUCGAGUACUGCAGGGGCUAGCGGAAUUCCCGGUGUAGGGGUGAAAUCCGUAGAGAUCGGGAGGAACACCAGUGGCGAAGGCGGCUAGCUGGGCAGAUACUGACACUGAAGCGCGAAAGCGUGGGGAGCAAACA